rnacentral:misc_RNA from 1 species
GAAAUGCGAUAAGUAGUGUGAAUUGCAGAAUUUAGCGAAUCAUCGAAUCUUUGAACGCACAUUGCGCCCCUUGGUAUUCCAUGGGGCAUGCCUGUUCGAGCGUCAUUUCAACCCUCAAGCACGGCUUGGUGUUGGGCGUUUGUCCCGCCUACGCGCGUGGACUCGCCUCAAAGUCAUUGGCAGCUGUUCCCCUUCGGCUCGUAAGCGCAGCACAGUCGGCGCCCGGAGCUCUGGUGGGAUGGCGUCCAGCAAGCUAUAUUUUCAGGCUUGACCUCGGAUCAGGUAGGGAUACCCGCUGAACUUAAGC